rnacentral:rRNA from 1 species
GAUGAACGCUGGCGGCGUGCCUAAUACAUGCAAGUUGAGCGAACAGACGAGGAGCUUGCUCCUCUUACGUUAGCGGCGGACGGGUGAGUAACACGUGGAUAACCUACCUAUAAGACUGGGAUAACUUCGGGAAACCGGUGCUAAUACCGGAUAAUAUAUUGAACCGCAUGGUUCAAUAGUGAAAGACGGUAUUGCUUUAAUUUAUAGAUGGAUCCGCGCCGCAUUACCUAGUUGGUAAGGUAACGGCUUACCAAGGCAACGUUGAGUAGCCGACCUGAGAGGGGGAUCGGCCACACUGGAACUGAGACACGGUCCAGACUCCUACGGGAGGCAGCGUAAGGGAAUCUUCCGCAAUGGGCGAAGGCCUGACGGGGCAAGGCCGCGUGAUGGAUGAAGGUCUUCGGAUCGUAAACCUCUGUUAUUAGGGAGAAACAAAGGUGUAGGUAACUAUGCACGUCUUGACGGUACCUAAUCAGAAAGCCACGGCUAACUACGUG